AAGCGUAUUUGCUUGAAAACCGUAAUUCUAGAUUUCUUACAAUAUCGGUUUAAACCAGAUCUGAUUUUGGUCUAAUAGUUUUCGUUUUUAAUUUAAAAAAUGAUUUUGGUUUAUAUAUAUAUAUUUUUUAUUAUUAAAAAAGACUCAGCAAAAAAAUUCGAAUACAUGAGAAUAUUUUCAUUAAGGGUAGAUUGGUAAUAUUUUCCUGAGAGCGAAUGUGAGCCCUC
rnacentral:lncRNA from 1 species